AUAAAAAUCAACUUUGUUGGUGAAUCAUAAUAACUUCUCGGACCGCAUGGCCUCGUGCUGGCGGUGCUUCAUUCAAAUAUCUGCCCUAUCAACUGUCGAUGGUAGGAUAGAGGCCUACCAUGGUUGCAACGGGUAACGGGGAAUAAGGGUUCGAUUCCGGAGAGGGAGCCUGAGAAACGGCUACCACAUCCAAGGAAGGCAGCAGGCGCGCAAAUUACCCAAUCCCAACACGGGGAGGUAGUGACAAUAUGUAACAAUAUACGGCCUUAUACGUCGUAUAAUUGGAAUGAGUACAAUUUAAAUCCCUUAACGAGGAACAAUUGGAGGGCAAGUCUGGUGCCAGCAGCCGCGGUAAUUCCAGCUCCAAUAGCGUAUAUUAAAGUUGUUGCAGUUAAAAAGCUCGUAGUUGGACCUUGGACCUGGACAGGCGGUCCGCCUCACGGCGAGUACUGUCUUGCUGGGUCUUUCCUCUUGGUGAUCUGUUGUUUAGGCAG
rnacentral:rRNA from 1 species